rnacentral:lncRNA from 1 species
CGUCAAAAAUUUAAGUACUUUGAUUUAGCAUGGGUAGUUUUAAUCUCAAAAUUGUUAUUUUUGGUGUGCUUAUGUUAAACACAUUAAAUAUUGUAAAUAUUGCCCUUUUUAGGAAAUUAAAAUUUGGUAGGGUAUUUACUAGUUGGCUUUUCUCUAUUUUUUUUCAGGUUACUUUAUUUUUCUUCUUGCAGUCAUGCUUUUUAAUCAUUUGACUAGACCUCAGUUACCUUAAGUAGAAGUGGGUAUAAGGGAGAGUGAUUAAAAGACAAGAGGUCUUAAGCCAGGAGUAUACCAAACUCAAGGGAAAUGAUUAUGGUUUAGAUGGAGAAGGUAAAAGGAAAUGGAUUUGACUUAAAUUUAAAGCACUAUUGUGAAUGAGGUCACAGGUACUCUAUUGGGAGGCAUGUAAGUUGGCCUUACCUCUAUGGAGGACCAUUUGACAAUAUUAAGAUCCUUAAAUAUAUUGGUGUCCUUUGAUUCUGUAAUUCUGUUUCUUUUUUUUUUUUUUUUUUUUUUUUUUGAGACGGAGUCUCGCUCUGUCGCCCAGGCUGGAGUGCAGUGGCGCGAUCUCGGCUCACUGCAAGCUCCGCCUCCUGGGUUCACGCCAUUCUCCUGCCUCAGCCUCCCGAGUAGCUGGGGCUACAGGCGCCCGCCACCACGCCCGGCUAAUUUUUAGUAUUUUUAGUAGAGACGGGGUUUCACCGUGUUAGCCAGGAUGGUCUCGAUCUCCUGACCUCGUGAUCCACCCGCCUCGGCCUCCCAAAGUGCUGGGAUUACAGGCGUGAGCCAUGUAAUUCUGUUUCUUGAAAUUUAUUUCCUGGAAGAAAAUAUGAGAUGUGCAAAAUACAUAUAUUUUUCUUGCAGUAUUCCUUAAAUGUCUAGAGAUAGGAAAUUGGUUAAGUUACAGUAUACACAAAUGAUAGAUAUGCUGUAUACAAAUAUUUAAAUAUUAAGUAAAAAGGCAGGAUAUAAAACUAUGCAUGGUGUAACCCCAAUUUAAUUUAUGUACAUCAGAAAAUCAAAGGAAAUA